rnacentral:rRNA from 1 species
CCUACGGGAGACAGCAGUGAGGAAUAUUGGUCAAUGGUCGGGAGACUGAACCAGCCAAGCCGCGUGAGGGAGGAAGGUACAGAGUAUCGUAAACCUCUUUUGUCAGGGAACAACGACUGGGACGCGUCCCCGGCUGCGUGUCCCUGACUCACAAGCAUCGGCUAACUCCGUGCCAGCAGCCUCGUUAAUCCGGAGGAUGCGAGCGUUAUCCGGAUUUGUUGUGUUUACAGUGUGCGCAGGCGGUCUGUUCAUUCAUCGGUCAAUGCCCGGGGCUCAACCCCGGCCCGCCGUUGAAACUGGCAGUCUCGAGUUGGAGAGAAGGAGGCGGAAUGCGCGGUGUAGCGGUGAAAGGCAUAGAUAUCGCGCAGAACUCCGAUUGCGAAGGCAGCAUGCCGGCUCCACACUGACGCUGAGGCACGAAAGCGUGGGUAUCGAACAGGAUUAGAUACCCCGGUAGUC